rnacentral:tRNA from 1 species
AGUGUAGUGCCUGAAUAAAAGGAUUAUUGUGAUAGAAUAAAUUAUGUAGAUUUCUUUCUACCUCCACUA